UCAGUCGACUCCUACGGGGAGGCAGCAGUGAGGAAUAUUGGUCAAUGGGCGAAAGCCUGAACCAGACCAUGUCGCGUGCAGGACGACUGCCCUAUCGGGGUUGUAAACUGCUUUUAUAUGGGGAAGAAAUGCGAGUACGUGUACUUGUUUGCCGGUACCAUAUGAAUAAGCAUCAGCUAACUCCGUGCCAGCAGCCGCGGUAAUACGGAGGAUGCGAGCGUUAUCCGGAUUCAUUGGGUUUAAAGGGUGCGUAGGCGGAAGUGUAAGUCAGGGGUGAAAGUUUGCAGCUCAACUGUAAAAAUUGCCUUUGAUACUGCAUUUCUUGAGUACAUUUGAGGUAGGCGGAAUGUGUUGUGUAGCGGUGAAAUGCUUAGAUAUAACACAGAACACCGAUUGCGAAGGCAGCUUACUAAACUAGUAACUGACGCUGAUGCACGAAAGCGUGGGGAUCGAACAGGAUUAGAUACCCCUGGUAG
rnacentral:rRNA from 1 species